GACGAACGCUGGCGGCGUGCUUAACACAUGCAAGUCGAACGGAAAGGCCUGCUUUUGUGGGGUGCUCGAGUGGCGAACGGGUGAGUAACACGUGAGUAACCUGCCCUUGACUUUGGGAUAACUUCAGGAAACUGGGGCUAAUACCGGAUAGGAGCUCCUGCUGCAUGGUGGGGGUUGGAAAGUUUCGGCGGUUGGGGAUGGACUCGCGGCUUAUCAGCUUGUUGGUGGGGUAGUGGCUUACCAAGGCCUUGACGGGUAGUCGGCCUGAGAGGGUGACCGGCCACAUUGGGACUGAGAUACGGCCCAGACUCCUACGGGAGGCAGCAGUGGGGAAUAUUGCACAAUGGGCGGAAGCCUGAUGCAGCAACGCCGCGUGCGGGAUGACGGCCUUCGGGUUGUAAACCGCUUUCGCCUGUGACGAAGCGUGAGUGACGGUAAUGGGUAAAGAAGCACCGGCUAACUACGUG
rnacentral:rRNA from 1 species